UUUCCAGUAGGGUUUCUUUGGAAGAAGUAUUCAAGAGGCUUAACAGCAUCUGCUGUCAGGUUGCAGGUGUGUCCCUCAGAACCUUGUUCUAAUUUGGAUGAGGGAUGGAUCCUGACCUCUCGAGCACUUUCCCCACGUUGUUCUCCCACGACACCCAUGACGUGCUGCCGGUCUCCACCACUUUUACUGUGAACUUCUCAUCUACCAAGAAUUGUGUCUCCUCAGCAGCACCCUGCAUGCCAUGACACACCCUAGAUGUUCAAGAAAUGUUUACUGACCGAAUCAAUUCACUCACCUCUGUCUUGUCCUUCUCAAGAGCAGCUGACAGCUACUGGCAUCUAUGCAGUGGGCAUUGCUUGGGUGCCUUUCCUGUGCCUAUGGUAAGGCAGUGAGGAUCCAGAAAUAAAGUGGAGGUCAUCUAUGAGGAACCCACUCUGUGCCAGCCAUCAUGCUCAGCACUUUG
rnacentral:lncRNA from 1 species